AUUGAACGCUGGCGGCAUGCUUUACACAUGCAAGUCGAACGGUAACAGGCCUUCGGGUGCUGGCGAGUGGCGAACGGGUGAGUAAUGCAUCGGAACGUACCCAGAGGUGGGGGAUAACGCAGCGAAAGCUGUGCUAAUACCGCAUGUGAUCUGAGGAUGAAAGCGGGGGACCGAGCAGCAAUGUUUGGCCUCGCGCCUUUGGAGCGGCCGAUGUCGGAUUAGCUAGUUGGUGGGGUAAAGGCCUACCAAGGCGACGAUCCGUAGCUGGUCUGAGAGGACGACCGGCACCACGGGGCUGGAACGGGGCCCAGGCCCCCGAGGGGGGGCGCAAGGGGGGAUUUUGGAACAGGGGGCGAACGCCGGCCCCAGCAUGGCGGCGGGGGGAAAGAGGCCCUUGGGGUGGAAACCGGUUUUGGGAAGAAAGAAAGGGUGGUCCGCAACCCCGGGGCGUAAAGGCGGGUACCUGAAAAAAAAACACGGGCAACCUCCGUC
rnacentral:rRNA from 1 species